CUGCGGCUUUAGAGGCCGAGGCGCCGAGGACGGGGCGGGGCCGAGCGGGUACGCAGGCGCAGUCCCACGCGGCCGCCCUGCCGCGGCUGGAAGACCACGCAGGCGCAGUGCGGGCGGCGGCUGGCAAGGCCGGACGCGGGGGUGGUACGAGUCUGCCUCCCGCGGUUUCUUCGCGGGGCUCGGCGGUUGGGGCGCCUCGGCUCCCAUCCAGCGGCCUCCACGGGGCUUCCGGCUGGCAGCGGUGCUGAGCAGGCAGAAACGAGACGGAUUUGUCCACGUUUGCAAGUCCCCACCUUAAGCACCGAGGACUUGUUCGCCCCGAAUGCUGGCUUAGUCCCGGAGUCGCCGUCGCUGCUCGCCCCUCCUAGGCCCUGGACGGCUGUUUCAAGGUCCGGAUCCAACCUGCUAUCUGCUUUAAUAUUGCUCUGUUGAGAGAGGUUUCUCCAUUUUAAAUAAAAAUGAGUGACAUCUCUGGACAGUGGAAGCUGCGAGAAGCCCCGCUGAGGUCCCUCCCGCGGUGAUCUGGGCUGCACGAAGCCCAGGGCGUCGCUAUCCAGCCAGUCGCAGGGAGAGCCAGCAGACAGAUGGUCCUUCCCAGGCGGGGUUGGUUUUCUCCAGAUCCAAGCUAGAGCUCCCAGGUUAGGCUCUGUCCCCCUUGACCCCCACCUCUGGGCCUUUGCACUGGCUGGCUGCCUGGCACGCUCCUCCCCAGGUGUCUGCCUCUUGCAUGCCCUC
rnacentral:lncRNA from 1 species